UCUUAAGUUUUGCUUUAUGAGACAUUAAAGGUUUCCUCCAAUGUCAAGCUUACUCUUUUGAGUCCUUUGGAUGCUAAGUGUGAAAAGAAUGCAUAUGAGGGUGUGUUGCAACAAAUCCCAAGAAAUUAGUGAGCGUAUUGGAUUCUCUUUUUCCGAAUCUAGAUAUGAUUCACUUCCUCGUGAGGAUGUUAAUGCAAAACACCUAAUUUGUUGAAGGAUCUGGGAAAUUUUGACUGGAAAAUUACAAGUGACACCAGGAAACUUGUCUAUCACACUUUAAUCAAAUUGCUCGAGGUAUUUUCUUGGGAACCAAUACUAUGCCAUGAUAAUGUAGAUGUGGGAUGGUCUAGACUAUCAGAUAUGGAUGUUAACGAGGGAAAGCUUCUUGGAUGUUCAUACAAUCAAAGUUGUGUUGGCAUAUGGGUUGUGGACCUCUCUUGCAUUGAACCAUAUGCAAUUGCUAGUCCUAGAUUAAAUGAUCAUUCAGGCCAAAGUCUACAUCAGAUGGUAAUCCAUCUAUGCCAGCUGAUAACAUAAAGUCUAGUAUGAGGAGGUUAUCAAUAUUACAGAGUUUUGAAACAAAUUCUAAAGAGACAAAAUCAUUAUCAGCAACAGUCAUUGCUCCAGCCAGGUGCCCCUCAAAUAAUUGGGGCAUGUGCUAGCACGAUAGCACCUCUGACAACACCACCAUCUGUUUCUUCCUUUGUAAAAAGAAGUUUAUCAAAAUUUCAGUCUACAUCUGACCUUCAGACUAGCAAAGCAGAUAUGGCACCUGUGAUUGUUCCAAGAACUAGCCCGAGGAUACACUUGCCCUCUGAUUUUACUAAAGACUUUGGGGUUGGUAAAACAAUGUCAUUUGAUAUCCAAUCAAAAUUUACUGAAUUUUGGAAGGUGUCAAACAUCAAAGAGAAUUUAGAUAAAACAGAUAUCCAUUCAGUCUGGGAGCAGUAGUAAUAUUGAACAAAAUGAAUUUCUGGGCCAGACUCCUAUUUCUUCUAGCAAUGCUGGAACUCAACAUGUGUCAGCUGAAGCAAAUAAUUUGGAUGGUGUUAAGAACUUGAUUAAAUAAAGGAUCAGGUCUAUCUAAUUCAUUCAAUGAACCACAUUUGCACUUUGAUAAGGAAAAUUGUAAGUCUGAUACCACCUUAUUUUGUUUUGUUAGAUUAUUCAUGAUUCCAACUUAUCAAGAUUUCUUGUUAUUAUUGUUGAAAGCUGUUAGUUAUAGGACAUUCUAAAGCAUACAUCAUCACUGUUCGAUGUUAUUUUGUAUUUCUCCUUCAAAUGAACUAUACUUGUAGAUAUUAAAUGCAAUAUUUCUUUGCAAAUCAUGGCAUAGAUAAUGAAGAGAACUUCCUGAGUGAAAUUUCAGCAUUGAUAAUUUUCAAUCUUGGUUGGACUGGUAUAGAUAAGGUAGAUUUUGUUGGACACGGGAGGAAAUCCAUUAAAAAAUUAAUCAGAUUGGUGAUGUCUUAUUUGCACACUUGCAAGAGAGAUGUCCAUGUCUUCACUAUUUUGGACAUAUUCACCGCAUUUAAUUCGACCUUAGCUAAAGGGCUAACUGAAUCAACCAUAGCCAAUCUUGACUAACCAUGUUCAAUAUUAAAUUUGUUUAUGAAUCAUUCAAUAUGCUUUUUCUCAUUUCAGGGCACAAUUUCUGUUGUCGGCUUUUUGGCGUUUUAAAAAUAGUUGUUGGAACAUUGGUAGAACACAGUUUCUUAUUCCUUGGUGUUGGAGAGGUUUUACUCCUAAUCUCAAUUGGUUUAUUUGGUCUAUUGAAUGUGUUUAACACUUUAACUUUGAUUUUUUUUUCACUUGUGUAUUUUCUUGUGAACAUCUUAGUUUCCCAUUCUGGGAGUAUGAAUUCCUAUUUACUUAUGCUUCGUCCUUGUAUUUCAUAUUACAAAUCUUGUAAUGCAUAUAAUUAUAUGAGAAAUAGAUAUAGGAAGAUCAUGUCUAUUAGGAUUUUAUUUAUGAGGUGGGCUUCUGCUUUUUUAAAAAGAGGGUAGAAGAUAAUUUUUCCG